rnacentral:rRNA from 2 species
GAAGUGGCUAGUCUAACCGCAAGGAGGACGGUCACCACGGUAGGAUUCAUGACUGGGGUGAAGUCGUAACAAGGUAGCCGUAUCGGAAGGUGCGGCUGGAUCACCUCCUUUCCAG